rnacentral:rRNA from 1 species
AUUGAACGCUGGCGGCAGGCCUAACACAUGCAAGUCGAGCGAGCGGCGGACGGGUGAGUAAUGUCUUGGAAACUGCCUGAUGGAGGGGGAUAACUACUGGAAACGGUAGCUAAUACCGCAUACCAUCAGAUGUGCCCAGAUGGGAUUAGCUAGUAGGUGGGGUAACGGCUCACCUAGGCGACGAUCCCCAGCUGGUCUGAGAGGAUGACCAGCCACACUGGGACUGAAACACGGUCCAGACUCCUACGGGAGGCAGCAGUGGAGAAUAUUGCACAAUAGGCGCAAACCUGAUGCAGCCAUGCCGCGUGUGUGAGGAAGGCCUUCGGGUUGUAAAGCACUUUCGGCGGGGAGGCGUUACCCGCAGAAGAAGCACCGGCUAACUCCGUGCCAGCAGCCGCGGUAAUUC